rnacentral:lncRNA from 1 species
AUUUCGAGCAUGACUUCAUUGGCGUCAGCAACGUUUUGCUGUUCGGGUUUAGCCGCCAUGUUUAAGUUGGCCGGGUUUCGCACCACUGAGGUCAUGGAUACUCAGGCCUCUUUGCGUGUUUCUUCAACACUGCUUCUAAGGUUAACCGCGUUACAUUUGUUGGAGAAAAUCCUGGGAACGCUGAAAAGGACUAGUGGGUGGGGUGCGAGGGUGGGGUCUUGCCCGAAUUAAAGAUGGCCGCAGUCAGCUCUGCCCCGCGCAAUUUCACGUCAAGUUUUGGAGCUGCGGGAGCCGGCCAGUUGGCCUCAGCGCCUCCUUACGGAAUUGGCGUAAGGCAAAGAGGCGCGGCUGGAAGAACCAGACUGAGAAAGUGCCACAGGGCGGGGGCCGCAUCCGCCCCUCGGCUUCUGGUUACUGACCCGACGGCUUUGUGAGUGAAAGUGAAGAGACACUUCGAGGAGGUCCUGGAACCAAUCCCCUCUGAUACUGAGAGACAACUAUUACACAAGAGAAAUAUUCUACCAUUCACAAAAUCUCGUUUAAGUGUUGUGAAAUACAAACACCAGGGAAUCAAGAACUUUAGAAAAUUGUGGCUGUGUUCCCAUAUGUGGUACAAAGAACCAGUGAGUCCCAUUUGUUGUGGUUCCUGCAUUCGAUGACUCCAGAUGUGCCACCACCGAGCUAGUCUUAUGACAACCUAGAAGGCAAAUUGGGAGAUAUGAACAAAAACAUUGAAAACAACAUAAAUGCCCUUCAACCAAGGAAUGGAGAAAUCACGACAUGUUAAUCCAAGAAAAUGCUAAGUAGUUGCUAAGGAUUAAUGAGCAUGGAUAAAUCUCAGCAACAUAAUACUGAAGGGAUGGCCCUAUAUUUGUCACUGAGAGCAGAAGGGUUGAGAACUUAGAUCCUGACAGGAGGCCCACCUUUAUUGGAGAAAUGGCUCUGCAACUUAGGACUAUUACAACUUGUAAAAAUUAGUGAGUUAUACGUGGGAAGCAUUUUGGCCUCACAAUUGAGAAGCAGAGAAGUGGUUCAAGGCUCAUGUAAGACUGCUGGGAUUUGAAAUUUAUCCUAUUAUUUGAAGACUGAAAUCAAAAUAUGAAGGUGGAGCAUCAUGUGUGCCUUCUGUCUUGUUCUCUACUAGGGUGUAAACCAUUUAACUAAAAAUAGUCUCCAAUUUGACACCUUCCCAACAUUUCACUAGUAUACUCCAAAUCUCCAUGCAGGGUUACAGACCUAUUUCAGCUGGCUCCAUUUACUCUGAGGCAGAUAAAGCUGAGAUUGCAACAUCAGAAGCAGUUCAACCAAUCAUUAUGUACAAACCUCAGCCCAUUUGUAUAAUGCAAUCCUUCUGGUAGUAAUGACACAAAACAUGCCUAUAGGGACGAUCACAACCCUGUCAAAGUCCCAAGUCAUCUGUGGCACCAGGGCCACAGAACUUCUUACCACUUGGAAGCAAAAUAGUUGCUUUAAUGGUAACCAAAUGCCCUCCUUCAAGACAGUAUUUCAAGAAGGAGGAGUAUACGUAUAUUAUACAAACAUAUCCAAUCCCUUUAGAAGAUAAUUAUCAAUAUCAUGCAGGGAAGCUGGAACACACACACAAAAUCGAGUACUAUCUAGAAGAUCAAGCCACAAAUCUCAAGAGAAGCAGUAAGUGUCCAGGGCCUGGGAUUUUUUAUCUUGGCCGUGAGAAUAGCACAGCCCAUGGUGCAGAAACGACAGGCUAGUUGUCCAGCAUAACAUGGUGUUUUAUUUCACCAUAGUAGACUGCUGGGAAAUCUCUGGAGGCCUUGGCAGCUGUGUCUUGUCUUUAAUAUGAAGCCUGGGGGGGAAGACAGAGAGAGAGACUCAUAAUUCACAAGAGGCCCAGCCGUAAGAAAGCCAUUCUAAAUAACUGAAUCAGGCACCGAGGAGGAGCGACUAUUCCAUUCCUAAGUCAAGAAUGCUUUUUGUCUUUCCUUCUCUCCUAAUUGGCUCAUGAAAAGAUCAUUUAUGUGUGGUAGAAUCAGUACAUCAGAGGCAGCUUCUGUUUCUCUCCAUUUCUCCUCCCCACUGCUGCUGUCCUGUAAAAAGACCCUUUGUUACAGACUGAAACAGCAGAUGCAGCUCAGAUAUUAUCUUGAAUAAUUUUGUGGGGAGCAUUUUAUCUUGAAUUGGUGUAAUGCCAUUUUCACGUGGAAAGUGGUUCUAUGUCUGAUCCAAAUGUUCUAGAAACUUGAGAGACCCAUAUGGCAAAGAAGUACUUUACACACAUAUCUCUUUAAAGUAGUGCAGGGUAUGGGAAGAACUGAUAAUGCUGAUUAAAUGAUAUGUAGACGAAAUGAAUGUAAACUGGCAUCAUGGGCUGAGUGAGUCAGGGGAGGCCUUGUGGAAGAGAUAAGAGUAAUAGAAAAUGCUAGGUCAAGUAUGUGUAGAGGCCUGGAGAGAGGAAUGGACUUAGUGGGUCCAAAAGUAAGAAGACUUGUUUGUUGUGAAUACAGAGUUAGAAGUAGGUAGAAGAAAAAGUUGGUCGGGUCCUGCAGAGAUUAAAAAUCCGGUUUAAGAUUUUAGAUUGUUUCAAUCAUCAAUUAGUUGGUGUCUGUGUUCAUUGUGGAAAUGCUUUAAAUAUAGAUAACAAAAAGGAUAAUAACUUACAAUCCUACCAGUCGUAGGAUGAUGAUGGCAGACAAUGUGGUGCACAUUCUUUCAUAUAUUUUAUUGUCCUAGUUUAAGGUUCCCUAUAGGCAGAUCCUGAGAUGAAGAUUUAAAUGCACACCACUUAUUGAGGAGGUGAUUUCAGGAAACACCGGCAGGAGAGUGGGGCAGUAUGACAGGGAAAGAAAGGAAGCAAAAAAAUAAAGGGCAUGUUCUCAAAGGAAUCAGUUGGAGAGCAGUCAUGCUGGAGACACUGGAAGAGAGUAUAGAAGAUGUCUCAAUGUAGUCCUGCCUAGGGAUCAGGAAGUCGAAGUAUUUAUCCACUAAUUCUUGUCAAUUGAGAAUUUAUUUGAGGGGCAUUAACUCUCCAAAACGGUCUCCCUGUGCCGGAAAAAUAACCCUAAGCAGAAUGUUGUAGGUAUUUGCAGCAAAUAGCCCUCAGUGUGUCCUGAGGAUUGGUGUAGUACAUAAAUAUACAAAAUUAUUUUUAUUUAUAAAAAAGCUUUCUAUGCAUCAGGCUCUGUACUGUGUGUUUUACUUGCAUUCACUCAAAAUAGUUCUCACAGAAGCCCUAUGAGGUCGGCGCUACUCUUAUCCCCUGAGGAUUAGAGGCUGGGAGAAGUAUAUAUGAGAGUCAUAUGGAGAUUAAAUACCUGAAGUCAUGAGGAGAUGAUGCACUCUCCAAGAGAGCUUUGAUGACAGCCUAUUUAUGCAGCUUCUGUCAUCUGUACACAUUCUCCUCUUUCUGUCAACAAAGAGUUUUUCUUUUGCAAUUGUAAAUGUCCUCUGUUUUCAGAGACUUUUGUUGGAAAACAAAACAAAAUCUUGAGACAUGAAGGAUCUGUAAUGGACACCUGUCGAUUGUGUCUGUUCAGCAGCUCCUCUCCCACCUGUCUUCCAGUACAACACCUUAUUUCAUUGGAGAGAAAGGUUCUACCUCUUCUCCUUAAGGUUUUAGUGGACAGCCAAACCAGUCUUCAGUCUACAGGGUGAGUAUGAGAUCCAGGCUUGACCAACCAUAGUCACCACCCACUUGGCUACAUCAAAUUGAGCCAGAAAGAGCCUUUCCCUGGGAAUUUAUAUGUAGACUUUGGGAAAAGGAAGCUUUCUUCUCUGAUGUUACUAGACAGCGAUGACAAAACCAGUGCUUGUCUGGACCAUGCUCCACUUCCUCUCCACAGCAAGAUGAGCAAGCUCAUCUGUAGUAGGAAAGAAUGUAGGAAUGCAUCCCCUGCACAGAGAAAAGCGGAGGAGAGAAUGAGAGAGAGAGAGAGAGAGAGAGAGAGAGAGAGAGAGAGAGAGAGAUCUGACUGUACUGCUAAGUCCCUGCAAUCCCCACCAAGGUCUGCAAGGUCUACUUCCCCUAGACUACAACUACCCAUUACUUGUGCCAAAUAUUCAAUAAAUCGUAACCUUAGCAGGGAGAGGGAUGAAGAGAGAUUGAUUAAUGGGUAUGUAUAUACAGUAUGAUAGAAGAAAUAAGACCUAGUAUUUCAUCAGUCAGUAGUAUGACUAUAGUUUACAAUAAUCUAUUGUAUAUUUCAAUAUAGCUAGAAGAGAAGAAUUAGAAUGUUUCUAGCAUAAAGAAAACACAAAUAUUUAAGGUGAUGGGAAUCUCAGUUACACUGAUUUUAUCUUUACAAGGCAUAUGAAUGUUUUAAAUUGUCAUAGUACCCCCAAAAUAUGUACAUGUUAUGUAUCAAUAAAACACAAAAUUAAAAAAUAAAUAUUUAAACAAUCAUAACCUUACUCCUUCCUUCCUUCCUUUCUUCCUUCUAUUUCUUUCUUUCUUAUUUCUUUGUUUAUAACUGGUUCAACUUGGGUUUCUGUUUCUUGCAACCAUAGUCUUGACUAAUUCAGGACCAAGUGCACUCUUAAUCAUGAAGUAUAUCUGUGGCCCUUAAGUUAUAUAUUGGAGUAAGAGAGCAGGGGGUGGAGAGAAUCAAAUUAUGACAGGACAGAAAUGGCCUUUUUCCAUCUAUCACAAUUUUAUUUGCCUCCAUGAUUAUCAGGUCGAUUCCAACUCUUUGAGGCAUGAAGGACCAGGAAGGAGGCAUCUGCCUUUAGGAAAUGCUGAACUGCAAUAGCAACAUGAAGCAUGGUUUCCUAUUGACUGCUGCCUUUGACCUGCAGCCAUUGAUGGCAUUCAUCAAUCAAAGUCUAACCAAUUGGGACUAUCAGACUUUUCCCUCCUACUCACACAACUCAAGGACAUGGAGAACUCUGGUUUUAGGGGGUGUAAGCUGAUGGUUCCAUGAGUUCUAACCUGUGGCUUAGCCAGUCUUUGGCUUGUAUAAGCCUCUAAAGGUUCAGCAGAUCUAAAAUCUUAGCGUGAUUGUAUUAACCUGAAAGCUAUAAGACACCCUUGAAAUAAUAGUUGCCCUUAAUUAAGCACUAUGUAUCUGGACUUUGUGUGUGCUGCCACAAUGCAAUCCUCACAGAAUCCUGCAAAGUAGGUAUUAUUGCCCUUUUAUGAAUGAAGACCUUGAAAUUCAGAGAGGUUAGCAGCCAUCAGCCCCUCAAACCCAGGCCUGUAAGACUGAAGGCUUUACUCUCAGGAUAUGCAACGAGGCUAUACAUUUAAUCCUAAACUCCCAAGCACAACUUUUAGAAGGGCUCUCUAGCCCUUUGUUAUUUAAGUCAGUGAUUCUUAAACAGGAUAUGGAAACCCCCAUUGGGUGGAUUUGUGUAUCAACUCAGCUAAACUAAAACUAUGGCACCCAAAAUUCCCUUCUCUGCCUUAGCCUCCUAAAGUGCUGAGAUUAUAGGUGUGAGCCACCAUACCUAGCUUUGUGUGAGAUUUAGAAAGCAAAAGUAAAGCAGUGAAGUAGCAGACAUACAUUUUUUACACCUGAAAGGUUGGUGCAGGUCACAGGUGCUGUUGCAUCUCAUUCAUGUUGUUCCUUACCUGUUGACUUGCAUUGUGGUGUGGAACAGUAGCCACGCCUGCAACUUCUCCAGCCUCUCUGACUUCCAGACCCAACAUGUCCUCCAUGACGAAGGACACCAGCUUCUCCUAGAGAGUACCUGACCAUUGAAGUUGGCAGCUUGAAAGCAGUAGGAUAUGAAUGCAGAUUCCAGUCCGUCCUCGUGGGUUCCAGUUUGCCUGUUUCCCCAACUUCACAGACAUCUCUCUUUCCCAAAUGCCUUCUCUGAGGAUUUCAGGCUUCAGCACCAAACACAGAUGCGAUGGCCUCACACAGAGUAAGUAACAAGCUCCCCCAAAUGAAUAAGAUCAAAUCCCUAUAAUAAAUGCCCUACUAUAUCAAUCUAUCUACCUGUCUGUCUAUCUAUCUGUCUAUCUAUCUACCUACCUACCUACCUACCUACCUACCUACCUACCUACCUACCUAUCUAUCUCCUAGUAUUCUACUUCUCUAAUUGAACCUUGACUGAUCUCCUACACCUUUGGUAAGUGAAGACUUUAAGACUACAGAUAAUUUUAAGGAGACCAUUUCCUAGAUCUUCCA